CUCUACAAGUGUGACAUCAGCGGUCAUGGAGAGUCUCCAUCCAGCUGGAUCACUGUCACAGGAAAACCUACAACCACGGUGAUGCCAUUCACCUCGGGCCCACACCCUGAUCUCCCCUCCCUCCAGCUUGGGUUCAGAGUGUUCCUCAUCCUGGUGGUGUUCUGUCCAUACUUCCUGUCCACUCUCCUCAUGGUGUCUUUAUAUCUACACAGAGCCAGAGGAAUUGACCUUUGUGCAUCAAACCUGGCCACUCAACCUGAGCAGGGAUAGGAUGAUGAGUAUGAUGAUGUCAUCACUGAUGUCACUACAGAGCAUCACUUCUGAAUCAGAGCUCCGUUGAGUCUCUAUUGCCUCAGUUAUGCUUCUGUGGGAAAUCUAUGCUGUAAAUAUCCACAUAACCUGAUGUGCACCUCUUGAGAAAUGCAACUACACACACAGCCUGCAAUGACUUGAAUAGCGUGGAAGAUUGUGUUAUGGGGAUAAUGGGAGUUUCCA